GACGAAAGGUGCAAGCGUUAUCCGGAUUCAUUGGGCUUAAAGGGAGCGUAGGUGGCCUUAUAAGUCAGUGGUGAAAUCUCGCAGCUUAACUGCGAAACUGCCAUUGAUACUGUAGGACUUGAGUAUAGUUGCUGUGGGCGGAAUAUGACAUGUAGUGGUGAAAUACUUAGAGAUGUCAUAGAACACCGAUUGCGAAGGCAGCUCACAAAACUAUAACUGACACUGAGGCUCGAAAGUGCGGGGAUCAAACAGG
rnacentral:rRNA from 1 species